UACGUAGGCAGCGAGCGUUGUUCGGAAUUACUGGGCGUAAAGAGCGUGUAGGCGGCCAUACAGGUCAGCUGUGAAAACUGGAGGCUCAACCUUCAGAGGUCGACCGAAACCAUCUGGCUAGAGUCCGGGAGAGGAGAGUGGAAUUCCUGGUGUAGCGGUGAAAUGCGCAGAUAUCAGGAAGAACACCCGUGGCGAAAGCGGCUCUCUGGAACGGUACUGACGCUGAGACGCGAAAGCGUGGGGAGCGAACAGG
rnacentral:rRNA from 1 species